rfam:Myotis lucifugus cont2.64581, whole genome shotgun sequence.
GGUGGUUCUCUGGCGAUGUACCCCAGAAUUGGGCUCCCUCCUCUCUGGUUCCGGAUGCAUCACUUAAGAACUGCA